CACGUGGGAGGGUGUGGCGCGGCGGCCGCGACCUGCGUGUCACCGGCCCGACGGGACCCGGGGCGGCGCGGCCUGUCCAGGCAACCCGGGAACCUGCGGAGCAGCCCUGACCGCGCGGAAGUCAGACUCGGUGCUGAGAAUGAGUCCGAUGGAAGACUCUCUGGGCUGUGUGGCAAGUUUGCUGUGGCUGCUUUUUCUAAUUACUGAGCAAGUAGAGAGAUGUCACCGAAGCCCCUCGAUACGACUGUAACAACUCAGCCCCAGCAAGCAACCUGACCCGAGAGAAAUGUAUCUUGACUACAAAGAGGACAAAGUCCCUUUGAUACUAAAAGUUAUGUGAGGAACACAUAAAGACCUGGGACCUCUAGGCGAGGGAGGAGAAGCCAUCAACUGGUCCGUGCAGAGCUGGGGCCGCAGAAGGGAUAUUUGCAAAGAGAAGAAAAGUGACCGACUGACACGAAGCACUUUCCAUCUGCAGAAGGACGGCUUUGUCUGAACAACUUGCCCAGAGAGGGAGGGCCUGGAACUGGAUCCACAAAGCACCAGGGGUCCCCGCUCAACUCCUGCACUUGCACCAAACUGAAAUCUUAGAAAAGGGAUAUUUUAACAGAAUAAAUCUGUAGAAAUUGUAGGAAAUAUAUGAAUAUUUCUUCAGUGAAACAUCUGAACAUUCAUAUUAAGGAUGAUAAAUAAAGAUAAUUAAAAAGUGUAA